AUCGUAUGAGUGGAGCCUCUAGCAAACAGGACUUUAUGGCAACAAAAAGGAUGGAGAGUUCGGGACAGAUGACUUCAGUGAUUACGUACGAGAGCUUGGCGGUCAUCGACGGCAGGCUUUUGUAUGGUAGAAAAUUUACCAAUAAUUGACACGGUUACGUGUUCUUCAAGUUAUCAUCCAUUUAUAAAUAAAAAAUUAAAGUAAAAAAACAAAAACUUUAUUUUCAUUCAUUUUAAUAAAAAAUUUAUUAUGAUAAAAAUGAUAAUCAUAAAUUUUAUAUUCCCUAUUUUUUGGCUCUCCGCAAAGACAUACUUUGAAGUUUCUAGAGUUUGGAGCAUGUCUUUUUUGUCUUUACGUGCUUUGAGCAUUCUUCGUCUCGUAUCUCUAUAGCAGAUUUUAUCGAUCGUGGAUCGAGUUUUCAUACCUCAUGCAUUUCGGGUACUUUUCUUAGUUUGAUUUUUCGCUGUGGUAGAUUUCUUCUUAUGUAGGUUAAGUGUGUCUGACUCACGUACCUUGGGUGCCUUCCUGACCCCUCUUUUUGUUGUAGCGAAUUUCUUCUUAUGCGUGUCGGGAAUGCCUAACUCAUUUGCCUUGGGUGCUUUCAUAGCCCAUUUUUCCGUCAUAGAAGAUUUCUCUUUACACGAGUUAGAUUUGCUCGACUCAUGUGCCUUGGGCACCUUCUUGAUCAGUUUUUCUACUAUAGCAGAUAUCUACUAUUGUGAGUUUUGUUUGCCCAACUCACAUGCCUUGGGUGCCUUCCUAACCCAUUUUUUCGCCAUAGUAGAUUUCUUUUUAUACGGGUUGGGUUUGCCCGACUCGCAUAGUAGAUGUCUUCCUAGCCCGUUUGUUCGCUAUAGCGGAGUUCUUAUAUGGUUCGGGUUUACUCGACUCACAUGUCUUGUUUAAGUAAUCUCGAGGAGGUGCUCUAUCUUGGUCGCGGAAGGUGACUUCUUAGGGGAGUGGAAGUCGGCCUUGCCUUUGAUUGAGGCCAUAUAAUCGUGAGCUAAAUUCCACAUAUGACUAGUAUUUUAAUAAAUAAAUGUGGGAAAAGAGGAGGAGAGAGAGAGAGAGGCGGGCAUCUCAAGGGAGACUCCUCGAUUAACAUUUCAAUGUGGAGGAGAGAGAGAGAUUCCACCAUAUCCUUCUUAGUUAGCACCUUAGCGAUGGGGGAAUAACCCCAUAUUCUCCUACAUCUUAAUAGUGGAUAGGACUAAUUUUUUUUGGUUUCGGCAUCUCAACAGCAGAGUUGUGUCCCUUCCAUGUGAUCUUGAAGGGACAUUUAUAUGAAUCCUAGGAGGAGAGGGGUCAUUAGGCAUUUAUAAACCUCUUUUAGUUGGUUUGAUGGGGCUCAAAGCAUCAUUCGAGCUCUAACCUUGGGAGCCUUCUUCUUGGCUUCGGUUCCAAAAGAGACGAGCCCAUCCUCAAGUCAUCCAAUGCCCGGUCUAUCGCUAGUUGGGCGAAAGAACAAAUAGAAAGCAGCUUCAUAACUUAACGACGAGAUUUAUUAUCGUUUCUUGCAUGUCUCGCAAAAGUAAAAGUAGGCGCGAAUUCUCCCAAUUUGUGACCUACCAUACGAUCUGUUAUAUAAAUAGGUAAAUGUUCCUUUCCAUUAUGAAUAGCGAUUGUAUGGCCAAUCAUUGUGGGUAUAAUGGUAGAUGCCCGAGACCAAGUUACUAUUAUUUCUUUCUCCUCCCUCAUGUUGAGUUUUUCCAUUUUUUCCGAUAAAUGGUUAGCUACAAAAGGGUUUUUUUUCAUAUCAUUCUCGUGUUAGGUCUCUUAAUGUGGUUAGGAAGGUAUAGUAAUUAAGGUAUUCAAGAAGUCAUAUAGGAAAAUCUGACCGUAGAAAGCCAUAAUGUGCUCUAUCAAAUUAACAUUACCGUCGAACGUCUCCGAGGAUAGGAGAUGUAAGCUCCCUGAAAUCAAUUUCUCUUAGAUUCUUCGUUUGGGUGUUGCGCAGAACGUACACAGCGAG
rnacentral:lncRNA from 1 species